CAGGCCUAACACAUGCAAGUCGAGCGGUASAUGACUUCGGUUGUUGAGAGCGGCGCACGGGUGAGUAACACGUACAUGACCUGCCUAUCAGAAGGGGAUAGCCCUGGGAAACUGGGAUUAAUACCCUAUGGUAUUACUGAUAUAAAUGUUAGUAAUUAAAGUUGAGGCGCUGAUAGAUGGAUGUGCGUCUGAUUAGCUAGUUGGUAGGGUAAAGGCCUACCAAGGCGACGAUCAGUAGGGGGCGUGAGAGCGUGAUCCCCCACAUGGGUACUGAGACACGGACCCGACUCCUACGGGAGGCAGCAGUAAGGAAUAUUGGUCAAUGCCCGCAAGGUGAACCAGCCAUUCCGCGUGGAGGAUGAAGGCCCUAUGGUUGUAAACUUCUUUUAGAUGGGAAGAAAAUGUUUUAUUUAUGAGACACUGACGGUACCAUCAGAAUAAGCACCGGCUAACUCCGUGCCAGCAGCCGCGGUAAUACGGAGGGUGCGAGCGUUAUCCGGAAUUACUGGGUUUAAAGGGUGCGUAGGCGGAUGAUUAAGUCUAAGGUGAAAGCAUGUCGCUUAACGAUAUAAUUGCCUUGGAUACUGGUUAUCUUGAAUAUGAUUGAGGAUAGCGGAAUGUGACAUGUAGCGGUGAAAUGCAUAGAUAUGUCAUAGAACACCAAUUGCGAAGGCAGCUAUCUGGGUCAUUAUUGACGCUGAGGCACGAAAGCGUGGGGAUCGAACAGGAUUAGAUACCCUGGUAGUCCACGCCCUAAACGAUGCUAACUCGAUGUUUGGUUUUAUUACUGAGCAUCCAAGCGAAACKUAAGUUAGCCACCUGGGGAGUACGACCGCAAGUUGAAACUCAAAGGAAUUGACGGGGGUCCGCACAAGGCUGGAGCAUGUGGUUUAAUUCGAUGAUACGCGAGGAACCUUACCUAGGCUAGAAUGUGAGCGCUAUCUGGUGAAAGCUGGAGUUCCUACGGGACGCGAAACAAGGUGCUGCAUGGUUUCGUCAGCUCGUGCCGUGAGUGUUUGGGUUAAGUCCCGCAACGAGCG
rnacentral:rRNA from 1 species